rnacentral:rRNA from 1 species
AGUGAACGCUGGCGGCAGGCCUAAUACAUGCAAGUCGAACGGCAGCACAGCAGAGCUUGCUCUGUGGGUGGCGAGUGGCGGACGGGUGAGGAAUACAUGGGAAUCUGCCCAGUCGUGGGGGAUAACGUAGGGAAACUUACGCUAAUGCCGCAUGCGCCCUUCGGGGGAAAGCCGGGGACCUUCGGGCCUGGCGCGAUUGGAUGAGCCCAUGUCGGAUUAGCUAGUUGGCGGGUAAUGGCCCACCAAGGCGACGAUCCGUAGCUGGUCUGAGAGGAUGAUCAGCCACACUGGAACUGAGACACGGUCCAGACUCCUACGGGAGGCAGCAGUAGGGAAUAUUGGACAAUGGGCGCAAGCCUGAUCCAGCCAUGCCGCGUGAGUGAAGAAGGCCCUCGGGUU